rnacentral:misc_RNA from 1 species
GAUGAAGAACGUAGCGAAAUGCGAUAAGUAAUGUGAAUUGCAGAAUUCAGUGAAUCAUCGAAUCUUUGAACGCACAUUGCGCCCCCUGGCAUUCCGGGGGGCAUGCCUGUCCGAGCGUCAUUACAACCCUCAAGCUCAGCUUGGUGUUGGGCCCCGCCGCCCCGGCGGGCCCUAAAGUCAGUGGCGGUGCCGUCCGGCUCCGAGCGUAGUAAUUCUUCUCGCUCUGGAGGUCCGGUCGCGUGCUCGCCAGCAACCCCCAAUUUUUUUCAGGUUGACCUCGGAUCAGGUAGGGAUACCCGCUGAACUUAAGCAUAUCAAUAAGCGAGGA